rnacentral:piRNA from 1 species
UGGUCACCCUCAUAGUUAUCCUCUGCUGC